CGGAGGAUCCGAGCGUUAUCCGGAUUAUUGGUUUAAAGGGUGCGUAGGCGGCCUAUUAAGUCAGGGUGAAUAACGGUGGCUCAACCAUCGCAGUGCCUUUGAUACUGAUGGGCUUGAAUCCAUUGAAGUGGCGAAUAAGACAAGUAGCGUGAAAUGCAUAGAUAUGUCUUAGAACUCCGAUUGCGAAGGCAGCUCAUUAAGCUGGUAUUGAACGCUGAUGCACGAAAGCGUGGGAUCGAACAGGAUU
rnacentral:rRNA from 1 species